UGGCAACCUCGCCCCUCUCCCUCCCAUUCGGAGCCAGGCGGGGGGUGCACCAUGCGCUAAUAGCGACCCUGUUAAUUGCUUCCAAAUGGUCAACUGUAGUCAUUUGACUAAUUGGUCUCUUCCAGAGCCCAGGCUGGACACCCCAGGCCCAGCAGAAGUGCUCCUACCAGCAUCCCCCGAACCUCUGCACUGGGACCCUGUCCCCCAGAGCACCCCCAGCCCUAUCUGGUACCUGAGUCUGCCCCUAGCCUCUUCCCCUGGAGAGAGAGCUGGGGUGGAGAGAGGGCAGAGAACAGGGUCCUAUGGUGUGGCCGCAGGUGGCUGGCCAGGGACUGUCAGAUGUGAUGCUGACUCCCAGCCCCAAACUCACUCUAAUUAUGUUGCCUGCCCCCCCAUCCUCUUACCCCAUCCUUGUCCCCAAGAGCAGUGGGAGAGAGACCCAGCCUGCCUGUGUCACUGGGAGACCAUGGGUCCCUGAAAUUCUGGGAGCAGCCCUGAUCAGCCCCACAUUACAGAUGAGAAAGGGAGGCUCAGAGAGGUGAAGUGACUUGCCCGGGGUCACACAGCCAGGAGAUGAGGCGAGAAGACUGGAAUGCCCCUUCUGGCUACGGGACCCAGGACCCGAGCAGUGGGGAGAGGGAAACCAUUGCCCCUCUAAGUCCCUCUGGGGCAAAGCUGGCACUUUGCUUCUGGCAAAGUUAGGAGCCCCCGCAGGCAGGGGUGGGAUGGAAGGCACAUCUCCCCGCAGUGGGGCCUGCGCAGCACUUUGAGGCUCAUCCACGGUGUGGCGUGUGCCAGUGUGUCCUCCCCUUUUCUGCCCUAGUGGCAUUCCGUCGUGUGCACAGACCACAUGCUGUUUAUUUUUCAUCCAUGGAUGGAUGUUCGCCUUAUUUCCUGGCUACUUGGCUAUUUUGGAGCCCCAAGCUGAGACAUAAAGGAGGAUUCUCUCUGGGUAGAGGAGAGGAGGGAGCAGAGGGCCCCCUGGCCCAGGGACAGACACCUCCAGCUGCUCUUUUUCUUCCCCACAACACCGAGGGCAGCCUGUGCCUGUCAGUGCCUGGCAUCGGGCUCCAGGCAGAGCAGCCAACAGGGCUUGUAGAUGCCAUCUUCUCCCUGUGUCCUCACAGGUUCGUCCCUCUGUGUGUGCCUGUGUCCUCAUUACCUCUUCUUAUAAGGACCCCAGUCAGAUUGGACUGGGGCCAUUCCACAGACCUCGCUUUACUUUAAUCGCCUUUGAAAGACCCUAGCUCCAAUUGCAGCCACAUUCUGAGGUCCUAGUGAGUAGGGUUCCAACAUACAAAUCUUGGGGGACACAGUUCCGCCCAAAACAAGUGCAAAUGAUGAGGUACACCCCCAGUCCUGUGGAUGAGGUGGGGUGGAGGGAAGGGAAGAAAUUCACAUCCCCACCUCCUCCCACCAUGAAGUCAACUGCAGCUGGGCGAGGCCAGGCUUGAUGGGGAGCUGUGGCAGCUUUGAUGGGGAGCUGUGGUGGCAAACCCACACUCAAGCAAUCACCCUGUGUCCCUGCCUUGCACCCCCCUACCCCUCUCCACCCUUUGCCCAGGCCAGUCCCUCCACCUGGGGGCCCUUUCACCCUUUCCAUCUAGAAGCUCCUGCCAUUCCUGCAGACCUGGCCCCGGCCCCUGGAGGGGCCCACACCCCAGGCAGAGCGAGUCUCUUCCUCUGGCCUCCCUGGCCUUUGCUCCUUCCAUGCUGCCCUGAUACCUAGGCCUGUUUCUCGUCAGCAGCAGCUCAGGCAGGGCAGCUUGCUCUAGAGGGCAGGCAGGCUUUGUUUACCUCUCCCCUGUGCUGACCUGUGCGAGAUGUGGCCAGGACACUUGGACAGUGGGCAGGAGGCAGGGAUGGUGAGGUGGGGAUAGAGGGAGGAGUGCCGGGCUACCCACUCCCAGUCUAGGAUGUUCCUCCUCCACACCUGCAUGUUCUGUGUUCUCCUUAAACCAUCACGGUGCUGCUUUGAGGCUCCUGUGUCUGCUAGGAAAAAGGGGCUGCGCUGCUGGGGCCUUCAUUCAGCCGCCUACAACUGGGGGAGGCUGAGGAGUGCUACAAAUACAAUCACAGGAGCCAGCAUCGAUGGACUGAUGGGCCCUGGUAUGCAUGGUCUAUCUUGGGGGUGGUGGCACAUGGGUCCAGGACCACCCAGAUUCCAUUUUCUGCUCUAUUCCUUACCCUGCAUAAGCGCUCCUACAGCUGUCAGCCUCUGAUAUCAAUUCCAAGUUACUGGAUUUUUUUUGAGGCCGGGUCUCACUCUGUCAUCCAGGGUGGAGUGCAGUGGCUAGAGUUUGGCUCACUACAACCUCCACCUCCCAGGCUCAAGUGAUCCUCCUGCCUCAGCCUCCCAAGUAGCUGAGACUACAGGCAUGUGCCACCAUAUCCAGCUGAUUUUUGUAUUUUUUGUAGAGAUGGGGUCUCACUAUGUUUCCCAGACUGGUCUCAAACUCCUGAGCUCAAGCGAUCCUCCCAUCUCAGCCUCCCAAAGCACUAGGACAACCAGCAUGAGCCACUGUGCCCAACCCCUAUUCUAAGUUUAAAGGACAAGCAGGACUUUUUCUCAAGUCCCAGAGUAGCGCACCCCAGUCCCAACACCAGGACUGAGCGUGCACCCCACUUCUAGCAUCAGGACUGAGCGUGCUCUGACCUGUUUCCCUGAGCUGAGGAAGGGGCCGAAGAGCUGAGAUAACUCCCAAGAAAUUUCCAGGGAGGGAUUUUCUGGGGCCAAGUCCUGGCCUGGCCCGGCCGGGCCUGUGUGAGCUCAGGGUCCUGCAGCCCCGGUGACUGGCCAUCAAUGCCCAAGCUGCAGGGACUCUCGAGGAAGUCCGAAAGACGCCACUGCCUCUCUACAGGCUGUUCUCAGGUGGCCAGGAGGACUGCAUCGCAGAGGCGGCGGGCAGUGCCUGGGGACCAGCUUCCUGCCUCUGGCUCUGACUCAGACCUGGUGGCCUUGCCCAGCCCAGCCCCACCCUCUCACUAAAUCAAAGCCAUGCCCUUCAGAUGUGGUUUCCCAAGCCUCCCUUGGUUUCAUGACUGCGAGGGACCUUCUGCAGCCACCUGGGCUGACUUCCAGAGGCUGGCACCAGGGACUCGAUUGUCACUGAGUAAGCUGUAUGCAGCCCCUGUGCCCACCAUGGCAAGACCCCUGCCGUCACCCACCUGACGGCUGCCCUGGCCCUGCCUCAGGAGGCUCCCUCGCCUCCAGCCACAUGGGGAGUCUAUAAAGAAAUAUGCACAAGCAGCAUCAUUCAGCAGGAUUUCAGACCAGAAAGAACCCUCCCGUCAGAGACUGGUGGCCAUACAAGGGUGCGCUGUGAAGCUUUCGAGACAGCAGACAGCCGGAGUCGUGAUCAGGGUGGCCAGGAAGGGAAACAACACGGUAGCAACCAGAGUGCCCUCCCAUGUGGAUUCCUUUGGUGACGAAUAAGCCAGUUGGUGUGCAGGGUGUUCACUGCAAGGCCCAGACAGGACUACAAGAGACCAGGACUGUCCUCAGUAUGUGAUCUCUCUCUCCUCUGGCGUCAGCUCUACCCAGGAACGGAUGUGAAGGCUGAAGCCCAGGCAAGGGCUCAUAGUGUGGGGACCGUGCAGCUGGAUUCAUGUCCAGUGGAAUUUGACACCAUGGCCGUCAUCAUCAUGUUUUGCCGUCAUCAGCACAGACCUCUGAGCAGAAAUGCCAGAACAAUGUGGGGCCACCCUGGAGAUUUAUUUUAUUUAUUUUUUAAAUUAAAUUAAAAUUGUUUUUAAGAGACGGGGUCUUGCUAUGUUGCACAGGUUGAUCUUGAACUUCUGGGCUCAAGCAAUCCUCCUGUCUUGGCCUCAGAGUGUUGGGAUUACAGACCUAAGCCACCGCGCCCGGCCUGGAGAUGUAUUUUAAACUGACAUCUUGGGAGAAAUAAAAGCCUUCCUUUUCCCUGUGUGUCGGUAGCGUAAGUAGUGAACUGGGAAGGAUUUCUCGGGGCCCCUGCCCUGAGCUCCUAGACCUUCUCUCCCACGCCAUGUUACACAACAAAAUCUGACUCUGAAAGAUCAAUUGGGUCCAGCUUGGGGUCUGAUGGGCAGACGGGCUUAAGCAAAGCCCCCACUUGACUUCAAGAGAGGAGCUUGGGGCCCACAUAGACAUCGAGGCCUGCACAACGUAGCUAAUUGGCCCUAACAUUUUUCUUUCUUGAAUUUUAAAUCCUUUUAGCAACAGAUUAUACAACAAAGGCUGAACUCAUUGGGGCCGUCAUUAGGCUGGCGGAAAACGCUGGCUUGGCUGUUCCUUGGCGAAUCUCCUUACCGGGUUAUUUAGAGGUGCCGUGUGUCUCUCUUGGGGACAUGCACACAAAUGUAAAGAAUGUCUCUGAGCCACAAUGACAUUUUCAUUAGCCGUGGCUCACAGAGGAGCCUUUCCUGGCAGUUCCAAUCCGGAAGGUUCUUAUCCUGCUCUCUGGCUUUCUUGCUCUGGGUGAAAGGCAGGCACCGUAAUCCAAGCCAAACACCCCGACCUUUGACCCCCACAUGGUGCUUGCUGUCAGGGUGGGGGUUCUUCUGGGGUGCAUGUCUGAGGCCUGACUGGGCUGCACACUGUCCCAGAGUGCCCUGCCUUUGGCCAGGACAAUUCACCUCAGCCCCUUUUGUCCCAACAGCUUUUGAUCUUGCCUGCCUGUCACCCAGGGAAAGAGCCUGCCUAGGCCCUGUCCCACACCUGCCUGCAAACUGACAGCCAUGGCUCCCCCAGCCCCACUGCAGCAGCCUUAACCCUUUCUCUGCCUGACCUGCAGGGCCUGCACCUACCUGUCUCCAGGGUGCUGGGGCCUCAGGCUUUGGCCAAACCAGAACAGGACUAGAAAAGAAUUCUUCUGAGGGUCCAAGGCCUCGUCCUACCGCCCCUACUGUGAGUGUGGGACUGACAAAGGAGUUUGGAGAGCAUGAGUCCCCUAGAAUGGAGCUCCCAGGAAAAGCCAAAGAGAAAGCCCCAGGCCACUGGGCCUGGACUUCGCCCCACGGCAAGGUCCCCGCCCACUGGCUAGGCAGGUGCUUUUGUGAAACUGACAUUUUCUCAGCUGCACCUCUACCGCUGCUGAUGAGCUUUUCAAUACACUCUUUCUUGUAUUGAGACAGAGCCAUGUUUUCAUAACUUGGCACUACAGCAAAGAAAGACAUGGGGUCCUUGCUGCUCAGUCCUGGUGCCCGGCCCAGUGUCUGGGGUGCCCACCUUGCCCAGCGUGUGCUGGGCAUGCAGGGGCACUUCCCUAGGGCCAAAACCUGGGAGCUUUCCUCCAGGCCAAGACGCAAGUCUCUUUGUUUUUACGGUAGCUUUGUUGAAAUGUAAUUUACAUACCAUGAAAUUCACCCGUUGAAGGCAUGCAAUUUAGAAGGUUUUAUUCAUAGAGUUGUAUGAAUUCUCUAUUUCCCAAGGCCAUUUUUUUAAAUAUAAGGGUAAUCUAUGUUCACUGUGGAAAAUACAAACAAUUCAGAAAAUAUACCAUGAAAAGUGCACAUCCUGUUAAUCCAUUUAUUCAGAAACUGUUUCUUUUUUUCUUCUUUCUUUCUUUUUUUUUUUUUUUUUUGAGACAGAGUCUCAAUCUUGUCGCCCAGGCUAAAGUGCAAUGGUGUGAUCUCACUGCAGCCUCCACCUCC
rnacentral:lncRNA from 1 species